AUUGAACGCUGGCGGCAGGCCUAACACAUGCAAGUCGAACGGAGCGGCGGACGGGUGAGUAAUGCCUCGGAAUGUGCCUGGUAGUGGGGGAUAACUUCCGGAAAGGGGAGCUAAUACCGCAUACUAUCAGAUCAGCCUAUGUCGGAUUAGCUAGUUGGUGGGGUAACGGCCUACCAAGGCGACGAUCCGUAGCUGGUUUGAGAGGAUGAUCAGUCACACUGUAACUGAGACACGGCCCAGACUCCUACGGGAGGCAGCAGUGGGGAAUAUUGGACAAUGGGCGAAAGCCUGAUCCAGCCAUGCCGCGUGUGUGAAGAAGGUCUUCGGAUUGUAAAGCACUUUAAGUUGGGAGGCGUUACCAACAGAAUAAGCACCGGCUAACUACGUGCCAGCAGCCGCGGUAAUAC
rnacentral:rRNA from 1 species